AAACAAAGUUGAAUUAUUGCAUAUAGCUGACAUGAAAAUACCCGAAUAAAUCCAAAGCCUCACCAUCAAGAAUAGAAUCCAUCACAUGUGUCGUAUGGUAACAAAUAAAAUAAAAGGACAGAAACAAGAUAAAAGCGGGAAAAUCACCUACCAACCGACAGAUUUUUGUGUGUUUUUUUCUUUAUUUUUUGUGUGUUCUCUGAUCAUUUCUUUCAAUGGCUUGCAGUGCCACUACUAAGCCUCUACUGAACCUCGAAAUCUCACACUCACACCGGCCAAAGAAACCACUCCCUCUCUUUUUCUGUUCCUUCACUAAUAGGCCAAGACUUUCUCCAAAGACUUUGUGCUCUCAAGCAAAAGAUUACAGCAAGAUUGACAUCUUUUCAAGUCCAUCACUGUUUUGUAGUCGGAAACCCAGAUUCCAGGUUGCUGCACAGAGGGAUUAUUCUUCAGGGGAAGAAGCAGAGUCACUUGGACCUGACUCAGCUUACCAAGAGCGUUUUUCUUGGUCUUCAGUGAUUUUGCCAUUUUUGUUCCCAGCUCUGGGAGGGUUGUUAUUUGGGUAUGACAUUGGUGCCACCUCUGGUGCUACCAUCUCUUUGCAGUCACCUGAGCUUAGUGGCAUUACUUGGUUCAACCUUUCAGCUGUUCAGCUUGGUCUAGUGGUCAGUGGCUCCCUUUAUGGGGCGCUUCUUGGUUCCCUCCUUGUCUAUCCAAUUGCAGAUUUCCUUGGAAGGAGGAGGGAACUCAUCAUUGCUGCUCUAUUAUAUGUGCUUGGUGGUUCGUUGACUGCUUAUGCUCCAGACCUUAGUGUUCUCUUAGUAGGACGGCUACUUUAUGGCCUGGGUAUUGGACUGGCCAUGCAUGGGGCUCCCCUCUACAUAGCAGAAACUUGCCCAUCUCAGAUACGUGGUACACUAAUAUCUCUAAAGGAACUAUUCAUAGUUCUGGGAAUUUUGUUGGGAUAUUUUGUGGGAAGCUUCCAAAUUAAUGCUGUUGGGGGGUGGCGAUUCAUGUAUGGGUGUAGUGCUCCAAUUGCAGUACUUAUGGGAAUAGGCAUGUGGAGUCUCCCACCAUCACCACGCUGGUUACUUCUCAGAGCGGUUCAAGGUAAAGGAUAUUUACAAGAAUACAAAGAGAAGGCCAUCCUUGCCCUAAGCAAACUACGGGGUCGGGCUCCAGGUGAUGAAGCAUCUGAGAAGCAAAUAGAAGAUAGCCUAUUGUCAGUGAAGUCUACAUAUGUGGAACAGGAAUCUGAAGGAAAUAUCUUGGAGGCAUUUCAGGGGCCAAGUUUGAAAGCCUUCAUAAUCGCUGGAGGUUUAGUCCUUUUUCAACAGAUAACUGGCCAACCGAGUGUUCUGUAUUAUGCUGGUCCAAUUCUACAGAGUGCUGGAUUUUCUGCGGCUGCUGAUGCUACCCGCCUUUCCGUUCUAGUAGGUUUGUUCAAGUUACUAAUGACUUGGAUAGCUGUUGUAAAAGUUGAUGAUCUUGGCAGAAGACCUUUGCUGAUUGGAGGUGUUGGUGGGAUUGUAUGUAAACUAUUCCCCUCAUUUCUGUUGAACUGUCAUGCCCUUAGGCUCUUUCCUUGUUUCUUCUUUCUGCUUAUUACAAAUUUCUUGGAGGUUUCCCUUUCGUUGCUGUAGCUGCUCUACUUCUCUAUGUCGGUUGCUAUCAGAUAUCAUUUGGGCCUAUCAGUUGGCUAAUGGUGUCUGAAAUUUUCCCACUACGCACAAGAGGGAAAGGGAUUAGUCUUGCAGUUCUCACUAACUUUGGUUCAAAUGCUAUUGUUACCUUUGCAUUCUCACCAUUGAAGGAGUUGCUAGGAGCAGAAAAUCUUUUCCUUGUUUUUGGUGCUAUUGCUCUGUCAUCACUUUUGUUUGUUGUACUCUACGUCCCUGAGACUAAAGGUUUGAGCUUAGAAGAAAUAGAAUCCAAGAUCCUGAAGUGAAAGCUCAGCAAUUCCCGCUAUCAUCAUGAUUUCAGGGCAAAGAUAUUUCUCAGGAUUGCACUGGAUUGUUUUCUAUUUAUAAUCUCAUGGGAUUUGUUGGACUACUAUUUUAGCUGAACGUUUCUUAUGACAUGUAAAUGGAGUUGUAUGAAUGAUAAUCAAUGCCCUUCUUAAACGAAUGCCAUGAUGGAGAUUUUUGUGUAUUCAAUUGAAAAGCUCGCGAAGAAGGGUUAUGACAUGCUCCUGAAAGAAUUCUAUGUGUAUCCCAAUAUCCCAAAAACACCCAGCAAAAACUAUUUCCUGUUAUUUGACUUAUUUCUUGCAUUAAAUACAAUCAUUUGAGUGCUUUUGAUUGCUGAUUGAA